rnacentral:rRNA from 1 species
UACGUAGGGGGCAAGCGUUGUCCGGAUUUAUUGGGCGUAAAGAGCGUGUAGGCGGUCUGGUAGGUCCGUUGUGAAAACUCGAGGCUCAACCUCGAGACGCCGAUGGAAACCAUCAGACUAGAGUCCGGAAGAGGAGAGUGGAAUUCCGUGGUGUAGCGGUGAAAUGCGCAGAUAUCAGGAAGAACACCCGUGGCUAAGGCGGCUCUCUAGUACGGUACUGACGCUGAGACGCGAAAGCGUGGGGAGCGAACAGG